rnacentral:rRNA from 1 species
AUGUCUUCGAUCCGAGUUGUGCUUGGCAUGGCUGCCACCAUGGACUUGGAAAUUGAACAACUUGAUGUGAAGACAACAUUCUUACAUGGUGUCCUAGAGGAGGAGAUAUACAUGGAGCAGCCAGAGGGAUUCAUGGUUGCAGGCAAGGAGCACUUAGUUUGCAAAUUGAAGAAGAGCUUGUAUGGCUUGAAGCAAGCUCCUCGACAGUGGUACAAGAAGUUUGAGUCUUUUAUGACUGGGCUUGGUUACCAUAAAGCACAACCUGAUCAUUGUGUCUUUAUGAAGAGGUAUGCCAAGGGUGACUUCAUUAUUCUCUUGUUGUAUGUUGAUGAUAUGCUGUGA